UACAGAGGUCUCAAGCGUUGUUCGGAUUCAUUGGGCGUAAAGGGUGCGUAGGCGGCGCCGUAAGUCAGGUGUGAAAUUUCGGAGCUUAACUCCGAAACUGCAUUUGAUACUGCGGUGCUUGAGGACUGGAGAGGAGACUGGAAUUUACGGUGUAGCAGUGAAAUGCGUAGAGAUCGUAAGGAAGACCAGUGGCGAAGGCGGGUCUCGUGGACAGUUC
rnacentral:rRNA from 1 species